AUGACCAGGCAUAGAUCGAAGGAAGCACCAACCAGAGGAUCAAGCAACAGAGGACCAAUCUGCAGGUAUACAAAGGAAAAAAAGAGACGAGCAGCAUCCAAUCACCAAGAACGGGAGAAAAUAGACACAUAUCUAGAGAUCGAUGAGUGCAUUAGUAGAUCCCGCGGAGAGACUGGAAGAAAGAGGGGACCUGCAACCAAACGAGAUCCCAAAUCAACAAAAGACGGGUACAAACGGAACCAUCUCCUUCACAGCCUCCUCCUCAUCUUCCUGGCUCUCACAGAAUCUUUUACUUCAUUGACCUUGUGUUAUGCUCAAGCUUACAAUAGAGCUGACCUCAGAUCCUCCCGUCCAUCCCUGUAG
rnacentral:rRNA from 1 species